rnacentral:rRNA from 1 species
GACGAACGCUGGCGGCGUGCUUAACACAUGCAAGUCGAACGGAAAGGCCCUGCUUUUGUGGGGUGCUCGAGUGGCGAACGGGUGUGAAACACGUGAGUAUCCUGCCCUUGACUUGGGGAUAACUUCAGGAAACUGGGGCUAAUACCGGAUUGGAGCUCCUGCUGCAUGGUGGGGGUUGGAAAGUUUCGGCGGUUGGGGAUGGACUCGCGGCUUAUCAGCUUGUUGGUGGGGUAGUGGCUUACCAAGGCUUUGACGGGUAGCCGGCCUGAGAGGGUGACCGGCCACAUUGGGACUGAGAUACGGCCCAGACUCCUACGGGAGGCAGCAGUGGGGAAUAUUGCACAAUGGGCGGAAGCCUGAUGCAGCAACGCCGCGUGCGGGAUGACGGCCUUCGGGUUGUAAACCGCUUUCGCCUGUGACGAGGCGUGAGUGACGGUAAUGGGUAAAGAAGCACCGGCUAACUACGUG